rnacentral:rRNA from 1 species
GACGAACGCUGGCGGCGUGCUUAACACAUGCAAGUCGAACGAUGAAGCCUAGCUUGCUAGGUGGAUUAGUGGCGAACGGGUGAGUAAUACGUGAGUGACCUACCUUUGACUCUGGGAUAAGCCUGGGAAACUGGUCUAAUACCGGAUACGACCAAUCUCCGCAUGGGGUGUUGGUGGAAAGCGUUAUGGAGUGGUUUUAGAUGGGCUCACGGCCUAUCAGCUUGUUGGUGAGGUAAUGGCUUACCAAGGCGACGACGGGUAGCCGGCCUGAGAGGGUGACCGGCCACACUGGGACUGAGACACGGCCCAGACUCCUACGGGAGGCAGCAGUGGGGAAUAUUGCACAAUGGGCGCAAGCCUGAUGCAGCGACGCCGCGUGAGGGAUGACGGCCUUCGGGUUGUAAACCUCUGUUAGCAUCGAAGAAGCGAAAGUGACGGUAGGUGCGAGAAAGACCCGCUAACUACACA